GAGCGUCAUUACACCCUUCAAGCGUAGCUUGGUGUUGGGUCUCGCCCCCAGGGCGUACCCGAAAAGUAUUGGCGGUCCGGUGUGACUUUAAGCGUAGUAAAAUAUCUCCCGCUUUGAAAGCCUCGCACCGUGGCCGCCAGACAACCCACAAUUUUCUAAUGAUUGACCUCGGAUCAGGUAGGGAUACCCGCUGAACUUAA
rnacentral:misc_RNA from 1 species